CACGCUCUCUCUCUCUCUCUCUCUGAUCUCUCCACCCACGCACGGCCUCUCCACCCUACCGAGCGUUGCCGAACGGCCUACCCACGCACGCCCUCUCCACCCUACCGCGCGUUGCCGAUCGGUUGAAGGCUAGCAUUCACGACCAUGAGAUUUUAUACUCCAUGAUUUGGAUGCUGCAAAUGCUCGUGCACAAGGAGGACAAGAUAUAUUAUCGCUCAUGGGCCAGAUGAUGAAACCUAGGAAGACUGAAAUUACUGAAAAGCUAUGACAAGAAAUUAACAAGCUGUUAACAGAUGAUAUAUUGACGAGGGGUAGUGGAGCUUGUCCCUGGAGUCCUAUUCAUUGAUGAGGUUCACAUGUUCGAUAUGGAAUGCUUUUCAUACCUUAAUCGUGCCCUUGAAAGCUCACUAUUACAAUAGUAAUUUUUGCUUCAAACAGAGGAAUAUGCAAUGUUAGUGCUGCGUUCCUCGUUCUAUAUGGCAUUGCUUUGCCAACUGAGGGAUGGGGUGUUGUCUCUAGUUUGAAAAUAUAUCCACCUUUUGCUGGUGCUGCUGUAUCAGCAAUUACUCUUGCUGUGGCCUUUGGGUUUGUUGUAUCUCGUCCGUGCCUGACACUUAAGAUGAUGGAAGAUGCUGUGCAUUUUCUCAGUAAGGAAACUGUUGUUCAGGCAAUUGCUCGGUCUGCCAUUAAAGUGAUAGCUAUUAUGUUUCUCUCUUCUUAGCUACAAUAACCGACCGAGUGGACUUGCUGGUGGUGUUUAAAAGUUAAGACUGAUUCAAUCAAGAUGAGUUUACAGGAAAGCUGAGGAUAUGAGCUACCACUUGGUGUGCAUCCACGUUCUUGCAGAUUCUAUUAGAAGGUUUUAUAUCUUCUUUGCUUUAGAAAAAUAAAAGAUAGCACCUUUUUUUUCUUAGAUUCUAUUUUAUAUAUCCUCUUUUUCUUCUGAAGUUUGUAGUUGAAAGAUCCAUUCUAAGUUGCAUUUUGUCAAUUGUUUUGCAGUGCAGGUUUGAUCUUUGCACCAUGGUUCUUUCCCUUGGGGUAAAGAAUGUUGAGGUGUCAUGCAUGGGGCUUGUUUCAGUUGUGGUGUUCAUGGUCGUCAUGCCACUUUUUAGAGCAUCUGGCAGCAUCUUGCUUCAGACUGCCUCCUAGCAUACCACCCUUAGCUUUCAGGAAGUGCUUGAAGCAUGUUUAUUUACUCCCCCUAAACUUCUUCCAGUAAUUAUAGCAUACCGCCCUUAGUUUUUUACAUUUGAUUUUCAAUUUGCAAUAAAAAAAAAGAAUUAAAAAUAAAAAUCAAUGCUUGAUUUUGAUCUAUGCCUUUAUGUUCCCAAAGCUUUCUGAAUUUUAUUCGUGUUUUAUUUUACUGAUUUGCAUGCAGAAAAUUUCUAGGCUUUCCCCCCCUUGAAGCGUGAGAUAAUGCUGAAAUCUGCAUAUUUUGGAAGCCCAUUUUGAACAGUGAUACGUGUGCAGGUCAAGGGCAUUGAGUACAAAGUAUAACUCUCUCCCAAACGAAUCUUCUCAACCAUUUGAGACCGUGAUUGAGAUGAAUGUGUAUGCUAUCACUCACCUCUCUCCCUAUGCAAUUUAUUUCCUAGGAAGGUGGGCUAGAAAUAAUGAUGCUAGA